rnacentral:rRNA from 1 species
UAUGGUAAUUGUGUGCCAGCCGCGGUCAAACGUAGGUCACAAGCGUUGUCCGGAAUUACUGGGUGUAAAGGGAGCGCAGGCGGGAAGACAAGUUGGAAGUGAAAUCUAUGGGCUCAACCCAUAAACUGCUUUCAAAACUGUUUUUCUUGAGUAGUGCAGAGGUAGGCGGAAUUCCCGGUGUAGCGGUGGAAUGCGUAGAUAUCGGGAGGAACACCAGUGGCGAAGGCGGCCUACUGGGCACCAACUGACGCUGAGGCUCGAAAGUGUGGGUAGCAAACAGG